CAAUAGCGUAUAUUUAAGUUGUUGCAGUUAAAAAGCUCGUAGUUGGAUUUCGGAUGGGACUUGCCGGUCCGUCGUUUCGAUGUGCACUGGCCAGUCCUAUCUUGUUGUCGGGGACUAGCUCCUGGGCUUCACUGUCCGGGACUAGGAGCCGACGAAGUUACUUUGAGUAAAUUAGAGUGUUCAAAGCAAGCCUACGCUCUGAAUAUAUUAGCAUGGAAUAACACGAUAGGACUCUGGCUUAUCUUGUUGGUCUGUGAGACCAGAGUAAUGAUUAAGAGGGACAGUCGGGGACAUUCGUAUUUCAUUGUCAGAGGUGAAAUUCUUGGAUUUAUGAAAGACGAACUUCUGCGAAAGCAUUUGUCAAGGAUGUUUUCAUUAA
rnacentral:rRNA from 1 species